UCUUCCGUAGUAUAGUGGUUAGUAUAUGAGCUUGUCAUCAUCAUCAACCCAUCGUCUCCUUCGGAGAUGGUGAAGGUGAGCGACUCGCUCGGGACCCGGGUUCAAUUCCCGGCGGGAGAG